GCAAGUCGAGGGGUAACAUUGGAGCUUGCUCCAGAUGACGACAGGCGCACGGGGGAGUAACACGUAUCCAAACUACCUAUAACUCGUGAAUAGCCUCUUGAAAGAGAGAUUAAUACACGAUAUAAUAAUAUAGUUUAGUUACUUUAUUAUGAAAGAUUUAUCGGUUAUAGAUGGGGAUGCGUCCCAUUAGAUAGUAGGCGGGGUAACGGCCCACCUAGUCUUCGAUGGGUAGGUGUUCUGAGAGGAAGGUC
rnacentral:rRNA from 1 species